GAACCUGCGGAGGGAUCAUUACACAAAUAUGAAGGCGGGCUGGAACCUCUCGGGGUUACAGCCUUGCUGAAUUAUUCACCCUUGUCUUUUGCGUACUUCUUGUUUCCUUGGUGGGUUCGCCCACCACUAGGACAAACAUAAACCUUUUGUAAUUGCAAUCAGCGUCAGUAACAAAUUAAUAAUUACAACUUUCAACAACGGAUCUCUUGGUUCUGGCAUCGAUGAAGAACGCAGCGAAAUGCGAUAAGUAGUGUGAAUUGCAGAAUUCAGUGAAUCAUCGAAUCUUUGAACGCACAUUGCGCCCUUUGGUAUUCCAAAGGGCAUGCCUGUUCGAGCGUCAUUUGUACCCUCAAGCUUUGCUUGGUGUUGGGCGUCUUGUCUCUAGCUUUGCUGGAGACUCGCCUUAAAGUAAUUGGCAGCCGGCCUACUGGUUUCGGAGCGCAGCACAAGUCGCACUCUCUAUCAGCAAAGGUCUAGCAUCCAUUAAGCCUUUUUUUCAACUUUUGACCUCGGAUCAGGUAGGGAUACCCGCUGAACUUAAGCAUAUCAAUAAGCGGAGGA
rnacentral:rRNA from 1 species